rnacentral:rRNA from 1 species
UGGGGAAUAUUGCACAAUGGGCGCAAGCCUGAUGCAGCCAUGCCGCGUGUGUGAAGAAGGCCUUCGGGUUGUAAAGCACUUUCAGCGGGGAGGAAGGCGAUAAGGUCAAUAACCUUGUCGAUUGACGUUACCCGCAGAAGAAGCACCGGCUAACUCCGUGCCAGCAGCCGCGGUAAUACGGAGGGUGCAAGAGUUAAUCGGAAUUACUGGGCGUAAAGCGCACGCAGGCGGUCUGUCAAGUCGGAUGUGAAAUCCCCGGGCUCAACCUUGGAACUGCAUUCGAAACUGGCAGGCUAGAGUCUUGUAGAGGGGGGUAGAAUUCCAGGUGUAUCGGUGAAAUGCGUAGAGAUCUGGAGGAAUACCGGUGUCGAAGUCGGCCCCCUAGACAAAGACUGACGCUCAGGUGCGAAAGCGUGGGGAGCAAACAGG